AGAAUCAACGCUGGCGGCGUGCCUAACACAUGCAAGUCGAACGAGAAAGUGGAGCAAUCCAUGAGUAAAGUGGCGACCGGGUGAGUAACACGUGACUAACCUACCCUACAGUGGGGGAUAACUCCGGGAAACCGGGGCUAAUACCGCAUAACAUCGUAAGAUCAAAGGAGCAAUUCGCUGAAGGAGGGGUCGCGGCUGAUUAGUUAGUUGGUGAGGUAACGGCUCACCAAGACGAAGAUCAGUAGCCGGCCUGAGAGGGCGCACGGCCACACUGGAACUGAAACACGGUCCAGACUCCUACGGGAGGCAGCAGUGGGGAAUUUUGCGCAAUGGGGGAAACCCUGACGCAGCAACGCCGCGUGGAGGAUGAAGUCCCUUGGGAUGUAAACUCCUUUCGAUCGGGACGAUUAUGACGGUACCGGAAGAAGAAGCACCGGCUAACUCUGCGCCAGCAGCCGC
rnacentral:rRNA from 1 species